rnacentral:rRNA from 1 species
GGUGCAAGCGUUGUCCGGAAUUAUUGGGCGUAAAGAGCUCGUAGGUGGUUUGAUACGUCGGGUGUGAAAUUCAGGGGCUCAACCCCUGACCUGCAUUCGAUACGGUCAAGCUAGAGUUUGGUAGGGGAGACUGGAAUUCCUGGUGUAGCGGUGGAAUGCGCAGAUAUCAGGAGGAACACCGAUGGCGAAGGCAGGUCUCUGGGCCAAUACUGACACUGAGGAGCGAAAGCGUGGGGAGCGAACAGGAUUAGAUACCCUGGUAGUCCACGCCGUAAACGGUGGGCGCUAGUUGUGCGAACCUUCCACGGUUUGUGCGACGCAGCUAACGCAUUAAGCGCCCCGCCUGGGGAGUACGAUCGCAAGAUUAAAACUCAAAGGAAUUGACGGGGCCCCGCACAAGCAGCGGAGCAUGCGGCUUAAUUCGACGCAACGCGAAGAACCUUACCAAGGCUUGACAUAUACAGGAAUACGGCAGAAAUGUCGUAGCGGUUAAACGUCUGUAUACAGGUGGUGCAUGGUUGUCGUCAGCUCGUGUCGUGAGAUGUUGGGUUAAGUCCCGCAACGAGCGCAACCUCGUUCUGUGUUGCCAGCAUUAAG